rnacentral:rRNA from 1 species
CCUACGGGCGGCAGCAGUGAGGAAUAUUGGUCAAUGGGCGUGAGCCUGAACCAGCCAAGUCGCGUGAGGGAAGACGGUCCUAUGGAUUGUAAACCUCUUUAGUCGGGGAGCAAUGCCGGGCACGCGUGCCCGGUGGGAGAGUACCCGCAGAAUAAGCAUCGGCUAACUCCGUGCCAGCAGCCGCGGUAAUACGGAGGAUGCGAGCGUUAUCCGGAUUUAUUUGGUUUAAAGGGUGCGGAGGCGGAUUUUUAAGUCAGGGGUAAAAUGUCCGGGCUCAACCCGGGCCGGCCGUUGAAACUGGGGAUCUUGAGUGGGCGAGAAGUAUGCGGAAUGCGUGGUGUAGCGGUGAAAUGCUUAGAUAUCACGCAGAACCCCGAUUGCGAAGGCAGCCUGCCAAGCCAUGACUGACGCUGAUGCACGAAAGCGUGGGGAUCAAACAGGAUUAGAUACCCUGGUAGUC